rnacentral:rRNA from 1 species
GACGUAGGGCGCGAGCGUUGUCCGGAUUUAUUGGGCGUAAAGAGCUCGUAGGCGGCUCGUUGCGUCGGCUGUGAAAACCCGCAGCUCAACUGUGGGCUUGCAGCUGAUACGGGCGGGCUGGGAUUCGGUAGGGGAGACUGGAAUUCCUGGUGUAGCGGUGAAAUGCGCAGAUAUCAGGAGGAACACCGGUGGCGAAGGCGGGUCUCUGGGCCGAUACUGACGCUGAGGAGCGAAAGCGUGGGGAGCGAACAGG